ACGAAAGUCUGACGGAGCAACGCCGCGUGAGUGAUGAAGGUUUUCGGAUCGUAAAGCUCUGUUGUUAGGGAAGAACAAGUGCAAGAGUAACUGCUUGCACCUUGACGGUACCUAACCAGAAAGCCACGGCUAACUACGUGCCAGCAGCCGCGGUAAUACGUAGGUGGCAAGCGUUGUCCGGAAUUAUUGGGCGUAAAGGGCUCGCAGGCGGUUUCUUAAGUCUGAUGUGAAAGCCCCCGGCUCAACCGGGGAGGGUCAUUGGAAACUGGGAAACUUGAGUGCAGAAGAGGAGAGUGGAAUUCCACGUGUAGCGGUGAAAUGCGUAGAGAUGUGGAGGAACACCAGUGGCGAAGGCGACUCUCUGGUCUGUAACU
rnacentral:rRNA from 1 species